UACUAUCCUGUAACAGAACUGUGGGGACACAGGCAGAGAGCGUGAGCCGGGAAUGGAAAGACCGGUACAAGCGAGGUAGGAGAAGAGUUGGCAAAUCCGCUCUUUAAUCUGAAGACGUGAUGUGGACUGAAAAUAAGUAGGGAAGCACGUGAGCUGACUGUCAAGAAAAGCCGCUAUUGUUUGCAGGAUACCCGUACCGUAAACCGACACAGGUGGAUGAGGAGAGAAUCCUAAGGCCGACGGGAGAAGCAUUGUUAAGGAACUCGGCAAAAUGACUCCGUAACUUCGGGAGAAGGAGUGCCAGUAAGAUGGCCGCAGAGAAUUGGCCCAAGCAACUGUUUAGCAAAAACACAGGUCUAUGCAAAACCGAAAGGUGAGGUAUAUGGGCUGACGCCUGCCCGGUGCUGGAAGGUUAAGGGGAGAGGUUAGCGCAAGCGAAGCUUUGAACUUAAGCCCCAGUAAACGGCGGCCGUAACAAUAACGGUCCUAAGGUAGCGAAAUUCCUUGUCGGGUAAGUUCCGACCCGCACGAAAGGCGUAAUGAUUUGGGCACUGUCUCAACAAUGCACCCGGUGAAAUUGAAAUACCAGUGAAGAUGCUGGUUACCUGCGCCAGGACGGAAAGACCCCAUGGAGCUUUACUCCAGCUUGAUACUGGGAUUUGGUAUUGCAUGUACAGGAUAGGUGGGAGGCUAGGAAAUGGUAACGCCAGUUGCCAUGGAGCCAAUGUUGGGAUACCACCCUUGCAGUACUGGGUUUCUAACCAGCAGCCGUGAUCCGGCUGGGGGACAAUGUCAGGUGGGGAGUUUGACUGGGGCGGUCGCCUCCGAAAGGGUAUCGGAGGCGCUCAAAGGUUCCCUCAGAAUGGUUGGAAACCAUUCGAAGAGUGCAAAGGCAGAAGGGAGCUUGACUGCGACACCGACGGGUGGAGCAGGUACGAAAGUAGGACUUAGUGAUCCGGUGGUAUAAAGUGGGAUUGCCAUCGCUCAACGGAUAAAAGCUACCCUGGGAUAACAGGCUUAUCACUCCCAAGAGUUCACAUCGACGGAGUGGUUUGGCACCUCGAUGUCGGCUCAUCGCAUCCUGGGGCUGAAGUAGGUCCCAAGGGUUGGGCUGUUCGCCCAUUAAAGCGGUACGCGAGCUGGGUUCAGAACGUCGUGAGACAGUUCGGUCCCUAUCCGGCGUGGGCGUAAGAUAUUUGAGAGGAGCUGUCCUUAGUACGAGAGGACCGGGAUGGACUGGCCGCUGGUGUAUCUGUUGUCUUACCAAAGGCAUAGCAGAGUAGCCAAGCCGGGAAGGGAUAAACGCUGAAGGCAUCUAAGCGUGAAGCCCCCCUCAAGAUGAGAUAUCUCAUAACGUCAAGUUAGUAAGACCCCUUGAAGACGACGAGGUAGAUAGGGCAGAGGUGGAAGUGUGGUAACACAUGGAGCUGACUGUUACUAAUAGGUCGAGGGCAUAACC
rnacentral:rRNA from 1 species